rnacentral:rRNA from 1 species
CGGGACACGUGAAACCCUGUGGGAAGCAGGAGGGACCACCCUCCAAGGCUAAAUACUACCUAGUGACCGAUAGCGUAUAGUACCGUGAGGGAAAGGUGAAAAGAACCCCGGGAGGGGAGGGAAAUAGAACCUGAAACCCUGCACUUACAAGCUGUGGAAGCACAUUUCUUGUGUGACCGCGUACUUUUUGUAGAACGGGCCAACGAGUUACGUUAAGUAGCAAGGUUAAGCACUUAAGGUGUGGAGC